rnacentral:lncRNA from 1 species
AAUAUCAUAUUAUUGUGUAAUAUGACCUAUCAAUCACUCAUAAAUAGUGUAUAUUCGCAUUUAAUAUGGUCAUUAAACAUAUUAAUUGACCAUUAAUGAUAUUUACCUUUCCUGAUUAAUGUUUGUUUGACUGCUGGUUGAUUGCUUGUUUUAGCCCCGGAUUCUCCUUAACUGACCAGUCACCCUAUAUAGUCUCCAGAUUCCUCUCAUUUCAGUGUAUGUUCGAUUCGUCCAUGUGUCCCUUUCACUCAAAGCCUGCCAGGAGUCGCUCCUUGUCCGUGCCCCCUGCACCAUACUUCUUGCACCGGCGAUCACUUCCCGUCC